AUUAUAGAGAGGAAGGUCAUAGAGAGUAAACCUCCAUAGUCAUAGAGAGUCCUCCGGAAGAGAUAGACGAUCCUCCUGGAGAGGAAAAUCUGGAAGAAAUUCUUAGAGAGGCACAGAGCCCUUCUACACCAUGUGGCUUAGAAGCCCAAUUUCAAAAUGGUGACAGCAGAGAUUCUUCCCACGAGUCGCAGUCUGAGGGAGAGGAAUCAGACAUUUAAAUUCAGGACUUACGGAGAAAUUUUAACAGACUGCGUUUAACACCGCCUGCCCAGGCUAUUAGAAUUCGGCCAUUAUCUGCUAUUAGGACAAAAUUUAACAGGUACUCUGAAUUAACAAUGACUUUUCUUACCCCGUUCCAGCGAGGUAUUAAGAAGGCACAGGAGGCAGGGGAAGACAUUAGCGGUUUUCAACUUUUCCCAGUUUUUGAACAGGUUAUUGACCAAGACCAGAGAGUUCGAGUUCAUGCU
rnacentral:lncRNA from 1 species